CCUACGGGCGGCAGCAGUGGGGAAUAUUGGACAAUGGGCGAAAGCCUGAUCCAGCCAUGCCGCGUGUGUGAAGAAGGCCUUCGGGUUGUAAAGCACUUUCAGUGGGGAAGAAAGCCUUGGGGCUAAUACCCUCGAGGAAGGACAUCACCCACAGAAGAAGCACCGGCUAACUCCGUGCCCGCAGCCGCGGUAAUACGGAGGGUGCGAGCGUUAAUCGGAAUUACUGGGCGUAAAGCGCGCGUAGGCGGUCUGAUAAGCCGGUUGUGAAAGCCCCGGGCUCAACCUGGGAACGGCAUCCGGAACUGUCAGGCUAGAGUGCAGGAGAGGAAGGUAGAAUUCCCGGUGUAGCGGUGAAAUGCGUAGAGAUCGGGAGGAAUACCAGUGGCGAAGGCGGCCUUCUGGACUGACACUGACGCUGAGGUGCGAAAGCGUGGGUAGCAAACAGGAUUAGAUACCCGAGUAGUC
rnacentral:rRNA from 1 species